AUGAACGCUAGCUACAGGCUUCACCCAUGCAAGUCGCGGGGAAACGACAUCGAAAGCUUGCUUUUGAUGGGCGUCGACCGGCGCACGGGUGAGUAACGCGUAUCCAACCUGCCCAUCACUUGGGAAUAACCUUGCGAAAGUAAGACUAAUACCCAAUGAUAUCCCACGAAGGCAUCGGAAUGGGAUUAAAGAUUUAUCGGUGAUGGAUGGGGAUGCGUCUGAUUAGCUUGUUGGCGGGGUAACGGCCCACCAAGGCAACGAUCAGUAGGGGUUCUGAGAGGAAGGUCCCCCACAUUGGAACUGAGACACGGUCCAAACUCCUACGGGAGGCAGCAGUGAGGAAUAUUGGUCAAUGGGCGAGAGCCUGAACCAGCCAAGUAGCGUGCAGGAAGACGGCCCUAUGGGUUGUAAACUGCUUUUAUAAGGGAAUAAAGUGGGUCACGUGUGACUUUUUGCAUGUACCUUAUGAAUAAGGACCGGCUAAUUCCGUG
rnacentral:rRNA from 1 species